UUAUUCAGUCAUCUGCAGAGUGUGAGAAAGGGCAAAUAUGCAAAAAGGGACAGUGCGUGAAUAAUGGUUGUAGAACAUCUGAUGAUUGCAACAGGGGGCAUAUUUGUGAAGAAAUCUGCAUAAAUGGGCCCUGUGUUGGAGUUUGCACAAGUUUGUGUAAAGUUUACAAAAACUGUUUUAAGGAUCCUGAAAUCAAAGUUAAGGGGAAUGCACUUUGCGAGACAAACAAAGAAUGUUCUGAUUUUUUU